CCUAGGGAGGCAGCAGUGAGGAAUAUUGGUCAAUGGCCGGAAGGCUGAACCAGCCAAGCCGCGUGAAGGACGAAGGUGCCAAGCAUUGUAAACUUCUUUUGUCAAGGGACAAAAUCAGGCUCGAGAGCCUGACCGAGGGUACUUGAAGAAAAAGCAUCGGCUAACUCCGUGCCAGCAGCCGCGGUAAUACGGAGGAUGCGAGCGUUAUCCGGAUUUAUUGGGUUUAAAGGGUGCGUAGGCGGGCUGUUAAGUCAGCGGUAAAAGCCCGGGGCUCAACCCCGGCGAGCCGUUGAAACUGGCUGUCUUGAGAUGUCGAGAGGUAUGCGGAAUGCGCAGUGUAGCGGUGAAAUGCUUAGAUAUCGCGCAGAACCCCGAUUGCGAAGGCAGCGUACCGGCUCCACACUGACGCUGAGGCACGAAAGCGUGGGUAUCGAACAGGAUUAGAUACCCUUGUAGUC
rnacentral:rRNA from 1 species